rnacentral:rRNA from 1 species
AUUGAACGCUGGCGGCAGGCCUAACACAUGCAAGUCGAGCGAGCGGCGGACGGGUGAGUAAUGUCUGGGAAACUGCCUGAUGGAGGGGGAUAACUACUGGAAACGGUAGCUAAUACCGCAUACCAUCAGAUGUGCCCAGAUGGGAUUAGCUAGUAGGUGGGGUAAUGGCUCACCUAGGCGACGAUCCCUAGCUGGUCUGAGAGGAGGACCAGCAACACGGGAACGGAGCACCGGUCCAGCCUCCUAGGGGAGGCAGCAGUGGGGAAUAUUGCACAAUGGGCGCAAGCCGGAUGCAGCCAUGCCGCGUGUAUGAAGAAGGCCUUCGGGUUGUAAAGUACUUUCAGCGAGGAGGCGUUACUCGCAGAAGAAGCACCGGCUAACUCCGUGCCAGCCGCCGCGGUAAUUC